UGGGCGUAAAGCGUACGUAGGUGGUUUGUUAAGUUGGAUGUGAAAGCCCAGGGCUCAACCUUGGAACUGCAUUCAAAACUGGCGAACUAGAGUAUGGUAGAGGUGAGUGGAAUUUCCUGUGUAGCGGUGAAAUGCGUAGAGAUGGGAAGGAACAUCAGUGGCGAAGGCGACUCACUGGACCAAUACUGACACUG
rnacentral:rRNA from 1 species